rnacentral:rRNA from 1 species
UACGUAGGGUGCAAGCGUUGUCCGGAAUUAUUGGGCGUAAAGGGCUCGUAGGCGGUCCAUCGCGUCGGGAGUGAAAAGCUGGGGCUCAACCCCAGUCCUGCUUCCGAUACGGGUGGACUAGAGGUAUGCAGGGGAGAACGGAAUUCCUGGUGUAGCGGUGAAAUGCGCAGAUAUCGGGAGGAACACCAGUGGCGAAGGCGACUUCCUGGCCUGUUCUUGACGCUGAGGCGCGAAAGCUAGGGGAGCAAACGGG